UACAGAGGUCUCAAGCGUUGUUCGGAUUCAUUGGGCGUAAAGGGUGCGUAGGUGGCGGGGUAAGUCAGGUGUGAAAUCUCGAGGCUCAACCUCGAAACUGCACUUGAUACUGCCUUGCUUGAGUACUGGAGAGGAGAUUGGAAUUUACGGUGUAGCAGUGAAAUGUGUAGAUAUCGUAAGGAAGACCAGUGGCGAAGGCGAAUCUCUGGACAGUUACUGACACUGAGGCACGAAGGCCAGGGGAGCAAACGGG
rnacentral:rRNA from 1 species